rnacentral:lncRNA from 1 species
GCGCUCCGUCAAUGUUCUUGGUUUUAAUGGGACCCCAUAUGUCACUGUGAAUAAUCGAGAAAGGCUGAGUUGGUUUGUAUCCAAGUCCAGAAUAGGUUGUUCUUGUGUGUUUGGCAAGUUGACACACUUCACAUUCAAACAACUUAGCACUCUUAUUAAUAAAUAAGUCUGGAAACAGCUUUUCAAGAUACAAAAAACUCGAA